GCUAUUUACUUCAUACUUUCUAAAACAUCUGGAAACAGAAGCUGAGUGAGAGGAGGACAGUGAAAGCUCAAGGAUAUACACUAAGAGGUGCAUGUCACUUGGCUGGAGCCUUGGAGGAUUCAGCUGAUGGUGCUGGUACUUGCUGGCUGGCUGGUCAUCUCACUGGGCCCUCAAGAGAAACAUGAUGCUACUUUUCUGGCAACUGAAGCUUUCCUGGAAGGCUGGAAUCUUUUGGAAAGGCAGCUUCAAAGCUGUGAAGUUGGCUUGUGUUGUCAUUCAAGAUUUCAUUCUCUACAAAGCAAAGAAAUGGGGGAAAACAUCUUAACAGAGGCUGUUCCUUUGAAUACUCUGUCUUCAGAUCUUUAACAGAGUUGUUUCUGCUGACAUGACUGCAAUACUGGAAAGAGGACACAUGAUAGAAAAAGAAAGCAUAUGUUAGUUUGAUAAUACUCUCCUGAAUUGCUCAGUACAUAAUUUUUUAUCCUUUUCCUUCUUCUGUCUGACCAUAUGGUGGUUUUAAAUCAGGUGGGUUAAGCAAUCCUAGAAGGAAAAAUAACUCUUAGCAAUUAAUCUGAAGUUAGAACUAAUCAUCUGUUGUAUAUCUGAUUAUUUUAUUUGUUUAUUUAUUUAUUUAUUUAUUUAUGGAAAAGUAGAAUUGCCAGAUGGCUUUUUGCAUUACUUCUGUGGCGUGACUCCAUUUUGUCCUCCCUUAUCCUUUACUUCCAAAGAUAAACAAUUCAUAUUAAAUACCUGCACAAUAAGCAUUUUCUGUGUCGUAAUAAUUUUCAUUGCCCUUUCCUACACCUUUUUAUUUUUCUCUUGAUAGAUGGUAUUUUAUCAUCUGAGAUAGGUUGUCCAGAACUGAAAUUUUAACCAAAGCAUUCUGUGUAUUAAAAUAACAUUACACCACUAUCAGUGUUUCUUUUUGUACUCUUCCUAAGACAACCUAACAUCUGCUGUUUUUUCCUCUCAUUAUUUAUGCUGCAGAAUUUAUUAUUGUUACUUAUUUUUAACAGUAUGCAUGAUAGUGUGUACAUUUUUCUUGGUAUAACAUUUUUUUUUGGUUAGAAUUACAGAAUCAAAGAAGACCUUCAAGAUCAUCAAAUCCAAUUGUCAACCUGGCCUAUUAAAUCCCACCACCAAACCAUGUCUCUCAGUGCCACAUCCACAUGGAUGUGAUAAACACCUUCAGCUAAGGGGACACCACCACUUUCCUGGGCAGCCCAUGUCAAUACUUAAAAAUCGUUGUGGGAUGCUUUUGCAAGUUUGCUGGAUGGUUUCUUUCUACUUACUAUACUUCACAUUGUGUUUCAGUUGCAUUUCCCUGUAGAGUCUUGUGCGAGGAUCCUUGAGAUUUAUUUAUUUAUUUAUUUAUUUUCAUUUUCUGCACUGAUCAUGCCUAGCUAACUAAUUUUUACUCAUUUGUAAGAGUGAUAACAUUUUUCCUGGUAUAUGUGCCCAACAACAGACUUCCUCAGCAGAAACAUUGUAUGCAGCUGUCAUCAAUGAAUAUAUCUGCUAUGACCUUGUCUAAAAUGAUUCUUGUUUUCAAUCCGCCAGUAUUCUGUGCCAGAGAAUUCCACCCACUAACCAUUCGCUGUGUGAAAAAAUUGUUAAACAUACUGCUUGAUAAAUUCAUUUAGUGCUCAUUCCUGUACUGUGAGACACUGAACAAAUAUUCCCUGCCUCUCUCCUUGAUCCACUGAUGACUUCAUGGGCCAUUCUUUUCCCCUUUGCUCUUCUUUCAUCUCUUUUCUAAGCUGAAUUUUUUUAUUGCAUUGUCUCUUUGGAAAGAAAUUAUUUAUAAAUUCUGAAAAUUAUUUUUUGGCUGUUUGUUUUCUCAUAAGUAUUAUACCAGUUUGAUUCCAUCCUUUCUGAGAUGGAAAAGGUACUUUCUGUAGUGUUCAAGAAUAGCCUAUAGCAUGGAUUUAUACAUUUUAUUUUCAUAACAUUUCCUGAUAAAACUUACAUUUAUGCUUGCCUUUCUUAACUGCCAUUGAACUGACUGUUUUCAGAACUACUCAAAAUGAUGAUAAACCCUCUUAACAACCUAUAGUUGUGCAUGUAUAAUUAAGUUUUUUUUUUUUUUUUUUUUUUUUUUUACUUUAUUUUUUUCUGCAUGUGCUUUACUUAGCGUUUAUAGACACUGUAUUUCAUAUGCUGUUACCCACUCCCAAAGUUUUGUAAAACUACUCUUCAGCACUUUACAGAUAAAAGUAAAUAUCAUUUUAGAUUGAGAAAAUAAAUUAAAAACUAGUAUAUUUGUCUUUGUCCAGACAAAUAAAGAUAAUAGCAUGCAUUGUGGGUGAAACACAUGGUCAUAUCUCAUCUGUACAGGUCCUGUCUGUCCAGUUGCUCUCUCUUAGAGACCACCAUCCCUUACUCGUCCCACUGAAAGGUCUGAAAAAAUCCCACUGACUUUACUCUGGCCAGGAUUUCACUCAUAGUGAUUCAGGAAGAAGGAAGUGGCUGGAAUAGGAAUUCAUAGAAGUUUGAAAUCAUCUUGCUUCCAAGAAAUUGGAGCAGCCUCACUUGUUAAAUACCCUGAAAUAUUUUCUUAACCACAAAGAAAGACCCCAUAGGAAUGCUAACAUAGUGUUCUCUCUCCCUCUCUCUCUUUCGUCUGAUAUUUUGUCACACUUUAGCUAUCUAUAAUUACCAUAUUUUUGCAAACUGGUGAAACAGGCAGCAUUUUCAACUUCCCUCUGAACAUUUUGUGAGGCAAAACACAGAAGUAACACCUACAUGUUGAGGGUUCUGGUGCUGGCCUUCUUCCAAGCAUCUUUUGAGACUAGCUGUAAGAAAUCUAAAAGAAUUAGACAAGUUGGACCCUACACACCCAUAUGGAACUAAAAAUCUAAUGACAACACAGGAAACUGUCAGCUGGUUCUUGAAGAGUCACACAAGAAAGAAAAGCCUUACCAGAAACCUGGUUUAUUGAACCUAACUGACAUGAACAACAACAAACCAAAAUUAGUAAAAGCAUGUGCCUAGGGCAACCUACUGCUGUUUAUUUAUUUUAAGUUUCCUAGAGCUGCUUAUUCUUUCAGUUUCUUUGUUGGACUUUGUGAUGCAGCAGUCUCGCAAUGGCAAAAUGUUAUAUUAUGAUGGACAAAGAUAAUGACAAUCAAAGGCAACAUACAUUUCUGAAUAAAUAAAAUAAAAAAUCCAUUGCUUAUUAGUUUUCCCAUUGUGACCUUUUACUUUGUCUAGUAUAAAGAAAGAAAAAAAAAAUAAUAAUGGGCUUCUCAAAGUACUGUCUUGUCUUAUAGGUAAGGUUGAGAAGGUCUGAAUACUCCCAGUUCUCUUCAAGUAUCACAUCUCACUGCCAGAACUCACUGUCCUACUUCAUUCUUAAGUAUAAAUGGAUCAGAAGACAAAACCAUUGUUUAGUCUGCUGAGUUCAAGCUGGAAGUAGUUUGCUGUUGAUUCAUCAUCUGCCUCAGAUGUCCGACCGUCAGACUUUAGAUGGCAGCUAAUACAUUCUUCUUCAUAGUUCUGCAUGGUUCUUAUUUUCCUCUAACAUAUUGUCAUCUCAUUCCCUAUUUAUUUAACAAAUAGAUACUCAAGGAAGGUUUAAUCAUGCCAGACUCUGUUGGGCACCAAAUCCAGCAUCUGAAUGUCACUGGCACACAGUCCCAUACUGGCAUCCUGAAGCCAUCUAAGCUUUGAGGAGCAGUCCUCCAGGUGUUCAGCUCCUACUUGUUCCCAAGUUCAGAUGUGUUCCCUUUCUCAGGCCUUGUCCCCAUUAGACAUGUUCUAAACAAGCUCUAACCAACCCCACAGAAGAGGCAGAUAGAUGAGGCUCAACCAGUAGAUGUAGCACAGAGACCACUGCAUUCAUGUGGGAAUAAGGCACACAUUGUUUCCGAACUCUUCUCUGUUUGUGAAGCUUUGAACAACUGUCUCACAUCUUUUUGGUAUGUUUAGCUGCCGGCUUGGUUAAACCACAACAACACUUUAGUAACUUUUAGCCUCAGGAAGUUGUUUCAAAAUCUGAACACAUCCACCAGAUUUAGGAAAACAGAGUUAAUGAGAACAGGGAAAUGUUACUUCUGGAAAAGCCUGAGAUAAUGGACAACAGCUUCACGCUGCCCCCUGAACUUGCCAAGCUUUUUUUAAGGAAACACAUCUCAUGUGGUACAGCAGCAUUUCAGCUUGGGAGCAUGGCUUCAACCUGAAAGAUGCUGGAUUUGUAGAGUUUUGCAACCAAAGUUCCCAGUCUCAUAUCUUCCUCUGUAAAUCCGUUUGCUGUCUCUGUGGGAUUUUCCAAUCACCUAAUUCUGCCUCAGACAUUUCCUUCCAGGCUCUGCUCAACUUUUCUAUAUUUGCUAUAAGAGCAACAUUUUUCAUACAUCAGAGAAGCAAAUAAGAUGUAUGGGCCCAGACUGGAUCUUGGUGACACCAGGUUCACUCCCUUUAUUUCAUUGUCUUUACUUUCAUUGCAUAUGGGUACAAACAGGAGAAUUUGGCCCACAACAUAAAAAUGACAUGUAUUCACAACAUAAACCAAUGAUUAUAUUACCACACAGUACGGCAAAUUGUUUUUUAGGCAAUAAAAAGUCAUUAUCAUCUCCAAAGGAGCAAUUACACUGCACACUGUGAGUGCAUAUUAAGAAUAUUACACAGAACUCCUCUCAGUCUAAAUUAGUCUACUGACGUGAUGACAGAUCUGAAGACAGAAGAGUGCAGAAGACCUGGGCAUUCUGUGUACUUAAAGAAAUUUUCAUUAGGGUGACUAAACUGGCAUGAAUAUAUCAACAAAGACAUUGGAGGCAGAUCCUUCUCCAAUGUAAAAUAUUUAUUUCAGUAAAUCUAGGUUUGUGUAAAACAACUGCUCUUUACACUUUGAGAGAGAUAAAGGAAACUGGCACAAAAGAGUGUGGGGGUAGUGCUUUAUUUACCUAAUCAAAUAGGGUUGCCAGAUCAGAUUCCGUGUUGCACCAGUACAGCACAUCUGCCUUGUAUUAGCAACUCUUCAGUGCUCAUUCUGCAAAUGCACAGGGCCUUUCUUACAGGUCUGACCCUGCCUUCUGUGCAUGUCCUCUGAGCCAUGGGAGUGCUGUGAGUGUAAAUGAGAUUAGCGUCUGAACCAAAUCACUGUCUUGACUGGACAGAUGGACCCUGGUCUGUUCUGCUGCUUGGGUGAAGGUGCCACACGCAAGCACUUCUGUUGCUAUUGGUUGUCUUUCCCUCUUAGAAAUGAUCUUAAAAGGAUGAGAGGCUGGGAGGAAGAUUGCUGGGGAAGAUUUAACAUGACUAAACCCUGAAGAGAAUGUUUGUAAAUCCUUUGAUUCCACUUAGUUUGUUUCAUUCAAAAAUCAUUAUUUCUCAUAUAAUCUGCAAGCCAAUUACUGGCCUUGUACAGCUGCUUUUAGAUUCUGCUGUAUUUAUUGCUCUAGUUAAAGCACAGACAUGCAAGACACUAACUAUGAUAUGUGAAAUCAGAUUCAUUCACUGAUGCACUGCAAAUCUCAUUGGAAGCAAUGAAUUUCCUUUAUUUAGACCUAUUCUGCCUCAAUCAGUGGGGAAAUAUAGAUUUUUUUUUCAUUUGUAUGAACAAGAAAGUCUUGUUAGUGAUUUACCUCUGAUGUUUAUGGAUUUCCCUUUAGCACAUACAGUACAUGGCAAAUUGUUUCAGGCAAUAAACAUUAAUUGUAUUUUAGGACUCAGAGGUGUCACUGCCUUAUUAUAUUCAGAACCUUGGUAAAUUUUUCAGUUCUACUUUUCUUCUGCAGACAGAAAUGCAUAAGCUAAAUAAUGUUUCUUGACUGCUAAGCUACAAUUUCUUCUUCUCCGUUUCUCACCAAAUUUUCAGAUUAACGAUAUUUUUAAAAUGUAUUAAAUAUUAAAAAAAAAAAAAAUGUAAAUGAAUGUUUGUAAUUAUAGUGCCUGGUACCCUUCAAGGACUCAGAAAAGAAAAACUUUUAAUCUAAAGCAACUUCACAAGCCACCAGAGCUAAAAGUUAAUUGGAAAUUAAUUCCAUAUUCUGUGUAAAUUAUUUGUGUUAAAUCAUGUGUUACUUUAUAAAUAAUAUGUAUUUAAGCAGGCUUUUGUAAGUACAAGAUAAUUAACAAUAAACAG